GACGAACGCUGGCGGCGUGCUUAACACAUGCAAGUCGAACGGAAAGGCCCUGCUUUUGUGGGGUGCUCGAGUGGCGAACGGGUGAGUAACACGUGAGUAACCUGCCCUUGACUUUGGGAUAACUUCAGGAAACUGGGGCUAAUACCGGAUAGGAGCUCCUGCUUCAUGGUGGGGGUUGGAAAGUUUCGGCGGUUGGGGAUGGACUCGCGGCUUAUCAGCUUGUUGGUGGGGUAGUGGCUUACCAAGGCUUUGACGGGUAGCCGGCCUGAGAGGGUGACCGGCCACAUUGGGAAUGAGAUACGGCCCAGACUCCUACGGGAGGCAGCAGUGGGGAAUAUUGCACAAUGGGCGGAAGCCUGAUGCAGCAACGCCGCGUGCGGGAUGACGGCCUUCGGGUUGUAAACCGCUUUCGCCUGUGACGAAGCGUGAGUGACGGUAAUGGGUAAAGAAGCACCGGCUAACUACGUG
rnacentral:rRNA from 1 species